GCAAGUGUAGUUUAAUAAAACACUAGAUUGUGGAUCUAGAAAUAAAGGCUAAACCCCUCUCACUCGCC
rnacentral:tRNA from 1 species